GCCCGGCUAGCUCAGUCGGUAGAGCGUUGGAGUCUUAAUCCAACGGUCGUGGGUUCGAGCCCCACGUUGGGCG
rfam:Ciona savignyi cont_36538, whole genome shotgun sequence.